UACUAUACGUUUUGAAAGAUCACUUGUCGAGAAUACGGUCCCAGAACUCGCAAACAGAAAGGGCGCGAAUUUAUGUAAAUCAAGUUCAUACAUUAUUUUAGGAAAAUAAUUUAAACACCCUUCAUGCACCUGAUAAUUUCGUAGCAAUUAAUGAAAAAUGAGAAAUACGGCAACACUACAAUUCUCUUCGAUAGAAGCAAUUCGACCUUGAAACAUAUUGGUAGGAUAAUCAAUGUUUACAUUGUCGAUUUCCUUUGUUUAAGAUGAAAUAAAGUAGUUUUCGCAAAAAAAAAUGCUGGAAACAUUGUAUAUGUGCUAUAUUGAACGACUACAGAUGAUAUAAACCUCAAAAAAGGUCUAAAUUGAUAGAUAUUCCCACAUUCUAUAUGCAAACUUUGUGAAUUUUUUUCUCAUGAACCAAUAAAAUUAUAGCAAUGUGGAUAACAUUUUCGUAAUCUGGGACUCAAAAAUAUCUACUAAUUCGUAAUAUGGGAAUGAGCUGUACCAAACUGCUGGGGUUUCAUCGAUGGAACUAUAAGACAAAUUUGUCCACGCAGUAUGCAUCAUAAAAUAGUGCACUGUGUAAAAUAUCAGUCUAUUUAAUGUACCUGUUUGAAUAGAAGUCAAUCAAGUAUUCAUUUUCAUGUAAAAGCACAAGUGUUUAACAGAAUUAUGUUAUGUAUUUUUCUAUCUUUUUCUACCAUAAUUUUGAAAAAAGUGUACUUAACAUAUAGUUUUAUAAUAAUAUAACUGUCAAUUAAUUCGGUUCUAAAUUAUUAUUUGCUUUUUUUAUGAUGUUUCUUCAGGUAUAUACCUAGGUAAAUUCUCAUUUUUAAUAAAAUUCAGUAUUUAUUUAUUUAGUGUGACGUCACCCACCGCCAUUGUUCUCCUGUCAGUGUUCGGAAUCCGAACAAAUAAAUUGUCAUUCAAAUUAGUAUGGUGUUGUUGAAGGAAUUGGCCUAUUUUCAUAAAUAAGAGUAUUUAAGCAACGAUUUCAGUAUAUGUAAAUUGAUAGACAGAAGGAACGAGAUCAAUACCAAUUUAUGAUGUCCCAUCACUCAUCAGUCAAUUGCUGAUACUCAGUGUCCAGUGAUGACGGAAAUGGAAGACAACGAGGUUCUAAGAGAGAAUUAAUCCAAGUUUAAAAUAACGAAAAGCUCUUUCACAAUGAGCAAUAAACCAAUCGAUUUAUGAUGUCCCAUCAGUCAAUUGCAACUCUCAGUGUCCAUCAGUGAUGACGAAAAUAACAUACCAAGAAGUUCUGUAGGAAAAUAAUGAAUCGAAGUUUAUAAUGACGAAAAGCUUUUUCAUAAUGAGGAAUAAACCAAUCGGCGCUCAGUGUGGAACUGUAAUAUUUUCGUUUUGGAAGGAUGGAAUACAAAUGUCUGGAAUAUGUCGUGGGAGUAGAUAAUAAUUCUAAAAUCUUCACCGCGAGAAGGAUGAUUGUUUUUCCGACAUUGGUCUGUGAGCGAAACUUCUGGAAAAAAUUAUUAUAUGAUGUAUCAUCAGCCAAUUCCUUACAGUGAUGAUGACAAUAAAAGACAAAAAAGUUCAAGGAAGACAUUGAAUCUAAAUUAAUUGAAGUUUAUAAUGACGAAAAGUUCUUUCACAUUAAGGAAUAAACCCAUCAUGUUCCUGAUUACAUCAAUAAGUAAAGUACGGAAUAAUUUGAGUCUAGAAGUCAUUUGGACAGGAGGGAAAAUUAUUGAACAUUCCAAAAAUAGGUGAUCGACAAGUCUUGACCUUUUUAGAAAAGGAGAUGUUAGGAAGGAUUUGAUAAGGAGUCUCCUAUUGAAUGAGGGCUGAAGAACCAUUCCAAGUGGAAAGUGGAAUAUCUUAUGCAUUGUAUAUAAAGGGUUUUUUCAUUGUUAUAAAGAAGAUAUACCAUAAACGAUAAUAUACAGGGUGAAUCAGGAUGAACUGACCAAAUUCCAGGAGUCUCCUAUUGAAUGAGGGCUGAAGAACCAUUCCAAGUGGAAAGUGGAAUAUCUUAUGCAUUGUAUAUAUUUUAUGAAGAAUAAAUUUGGCUUUUUUA